rnacentral:lncRNA from 1 species
AUGAGGAAGAAAAGAGUUUGUGUUUCUGCUCAACAUCAAAUUUUUUAUUAUCUGGAAAUGUCUUUACAACAGACAUUUUUCUCUCCAUACAAAUUGAACAUCGUUACUAAGGAAACCCUCAUGAAUCCUGAAGGUUAUGCUAGCAUGAUUUUUAUAUGUAGAAGUUUAAAAAUAAACCAAGUCAGGUUUGUAUUUGUAAAAUUGUUGACAUCAAUGAUGUCUUUCCAUAUUCUUAUCUGGGCUUAAGAAAUACAUUCUGUAUUUUUCCAGAUUCUUUGUAGCCUUUGAAAGAUUUUUACAGUACAUAUGUCUUGACUGAGCUGUCUUUUCUUAAUACAAAAAGCUUGUAUAAUUUUCUUAACUUGUACAGUUGGUAAACUUUUAUGAGAGGAACUGAUAUUCUGAGUCUGUCAGCUUUCAUUUUAUUUUGCUAAGAUUUUUCUAAUGACUUUUUAAGUGUGUGUGUAGUUAACCAAGUCAUGUUUCUUAUCCAGGUGGUAAAAGCAUUCAUAAAGAAUUAUGAACAUGCGUUAUUUUCAAACUUCUACUUACUGACAAAUAAUUUGGGAUGUCUAAAUUUCAGCAUGAUACUCAGAUUACAAGCUUGUUUGCAUUUGCUAUAAUUUUAUAAAUUAAUUUUGAAACAAAACAAAAACUUACCGUCAGCUUAAGUGCGUAGAUGUAUCAUGCUGAAUAGAAUCCUGUUCAGUUGCUCUCAUGUGCCCUAUAAGAUUUCUCAUCGUUUCCAUUAAGUCAACAGAAGGGGAAGACCAGGUGAUGUUGCAAUAUUGCCACAUCCAAGGAGUAACUGUUGACAGGUAGCAAUAUUCAUUUUUAUGAGAAAAUAAUGGUUUUAAGAAUUUUCAGAUUUUUCCAGUUGUAAUCCAGUUUGUCAGAUUUGAUAGUUUUUCCAAAAUGAAACACAUAC